GCCUGGGUUACAUCUGUCUUCUUUACGGCUGCAUCUCCAAUAUCCAGCGCAUGUUCUGAGAUGAAAACAUGCUGUAACUUGAACUAUAGAUCCUUCUUAAGGAUGACGAUUCUUCGGGCUGCAAGAAAUAAAAGGUCGCUCAACCUC